GGGAGGGACGGCACAGGGACACCACAGUGUUAGGAAUACAACUGUAUUCCUUACACUGCUUCUUUUAAUAUCCUAUAGUAUUUCUCCCUUCCGCUCUAGAAAUACUGCUGUAUAGAAUGUUGUGACUUGGGUUUUUGGGAAUUGUAGUAAGUUUGUUAGCUUUCUACAGUAGAAAAUUGACAAAUGAAUUAGAACUCCCAGAAAUCUUUGCUGUGCACAUAAACCACUGCUUAUGGGAUAUGUUCAACAGUGCUAUUAAAAGUUGCGAG